CAGCAGCCGCGGGAAUACGUAGGGUGCAAGCGUUAUCCGGAAUUAUUGGGCGUAAAGAGCUCGUAGGCGGUUUGUCGCGUCUGCUGUGAAAACUGGAGGCUCAACCUCCAGCCUGCAGUGGGUACGGGCAGACUAGAGUGCGGUAGGGGAGAUUGGAAUUCCUGGUGUAGCGGUGGAAUGCGCAGAUAUCAGGAAGAACACCGAUGGCGAAGGCAGUUCUCUGGGCCGUAACUGACGCUGAGGAGCGAAAGCGUGGGGAGCGAACAGGAUUAGAUACCCCCGUAGUCCCUGUCUCUUAUAC
rnacentral:rRNA from 1 species